UUGAUUUGCCCACUUCCAUUCAAUUUCCAAAUUGUUCCAUCGCUCGCUGCCGACUUGCCGGGGGGGUGUGUGCUUAUGAGGGUUACAGGGGGUGCUGAUGGGGCUUAUGUAGGUUACCCCCUCUGUAACCUACAUAAUCCCCAUCAGCACCCACUGUAACCCCCAUAAGCACCCCCUGUGUAACUUAUGUAAGCCCCAUCAGCACCCCCUGUAACCGCCAUAAGGCAAGUCGGCAGCAUACGAUGGAACAAUUUGGAAAUUGAAUGGAGGUGGGCAAAUCAAACGGACUACGGACCAAUCAGAUAAUAAAUAGUAAAAAAGCGUUACUGCAUUAUCUGAUUGGUCCGUGUGUCCAUGAAGUCAGUGGCUGUACAACCAAUAGGGUCCAGUGUGCCGCUAGUGCCUUGUCUGAUGAGAUGAGUGAAGAGUAGGGCCAUGUGCGCAUGCGCGGCACGUACCAUAGAAUUCCUCGACCCGUUCUCAAAUAAGUCGCCUCAAACAGCUGUUUAGAGGAGGUUGGGCCUCUUGCGCAUGCGCAGUGAGCGCCACAUCCCUCCAACAGCUGAUUACACGUCACCGGAAGUGACGUGGUGCACACAUUCCUAUGGUAUACAACUUCUUUUAGAACACCGGACCAUUUCUGGAGCACAAAAUGGCAGCAGUUUUGCAAGAAUGUUAUCUAUUUGCAUGAGCACUAGAGGGCAGCACUAUUUCCUGCCAUGUAGUUCUCCAGAUGCCUACCUAGGUAUCUCUUCAACACAGAAUGUCAUGGAAACAAAGCCAAUUUGAUCAUAGAAGUAAAUUGGAAAAAAAAAAUGUAAUGGUUUGCUCUUAAAAAAACAAACAAAAAAAACACUUUUAUUUCAUAUCCCUUUAAGAUAAAGUGAAGUAAUACAAUUUCUUCAACGUUUAUUGCUCAAAUUAUAAUUAAAUACAUUUGUUAAAUCAGACAAUUCAUUUGUGCUUUAGAUGGCAGAAAAUGUAAUAAUAUUAGAAAUAGGGAUGCACAGAAAGUUUCGGCCGAAAAUUGCAUUUUUGUUAUUUCGGUUUUUAUGCCUUUUAUUUUCGGUAAAAUUAUUGUGUAGCAUAUUUCAAAUUUGAUGCCAGCCUAGAGCUGCUGUUUGAGUUCAUUACUUGACUUACUGUUUUGCAUAUGAUAAUACUUUUCUAGGACUAUACUUUAUUUUGAUAAUUGGUAAAAAAAAAAAAAAAAAAAAAAAAGGUUAAAUCUGAUUCUGUUACACAGAACUAAAUAAAGAAUAAUACUAGCGAUGCACCAAAAGUUGGGCCGCCGAAAAUGUGCAACUCCAAUUUCGGCCCAAAGAGGACCAAAAUGGCUAAAAAUGUACAGCCCUCCCCUGUUCUAUUGGGUUACAUGCCUAUCCUUAGCAUAAGGUGAGCAGCACAGCACUGGCAUUAUACACAGAGCACACACAUAAGUACCAUGAUAUCCUGUUCUAUUGGGUUACAUGCCUAUCCUUAGCAUAAGGUGAGCAGCACAGCACUGGCAUUAUACACAGAGCACACACAUAAGUACCAUGAUAUCCUGUUCUAUUGGGUUACAUGCCUAUCCUUAGCAUAAGGUGAGCAGCACAGCACUGGCAUUAUACACAGAGCACACACAUAAGUACCAUGAUAUCCUGUUCUAUUGGGUUACAUGCCUAUCCUUAGCAUAAGGUGAGCAGCACAGCACUGGUAUGGUACACAGAGCACACACAUAAGUACCAUGAUAUCCUGUUCUAUUGGGUUACAUGCCUAUCCUUAGCAUAAGGUGAGCAGCACAGCACUGGUAUGGUACACAGAGCACACACAUAAGUACCAUGAUAUCCUGUUCUAUUGGGUUACAUGCCUAUCCUUAGCAUAAGGUGAGCAGCACAGCACUGGUAUGGUACACAGAGCACACACAUAAGUACCAUGAUAUCCUGUUCUAUUGGGUUACAUGCCUAUCCUUAGCAUAAGGUGAGCAGCACAGCACUGGUAUGGUACACAGAGCACACACAUAAGUACCAUGAUAUCCUGUUCUAUUGGGUUACAUGCCUAUCCUUAGCAUAAGGUGAGCAGCACAGCACUGGUAUGGUACACAGAGCACACACAUAAGUACCAUGAUAUCCUGUUCUAUUGGGUUACAUGCCUAUCCUUAGCAUAAGGUGAGCAGCACAGCACUGGCAUUAUACACAGAGCACACACAUAAGUACCAUGAUAUCCUGUUCUAUUGGGUUACAUGCCUAUCCUUAGCAUAAGGUGAGCAGCACAGCACUGGUAUGGUACACAGAGCACACACAUAAGUACCAUGAUAUCCUGUUCUAUUGGGUUACAUGCCUAUCCUUAGCAUAAGGUGAGCAGCACAGCACUGGUAUGGUACACAGAGCACACACAUAAGUACCAUGAUAUCCUGUUCUAUUGGGUUACAUGCCUAUCCUUAGCAUAAGGUGAGCAGCACAGCACUGGCAUUAUACACAGAGCACACACAUAAGUACCAUGAUAUCCUGUUCUAUUGGGUUACAUGCCUAUCCUUAGCAUAAGGUGAGCAGCACAGCACUGGUAUGGUACACAGAGCACACACAUAAGUACCAUGAUAUCCUGUUCUAUUGGGUUACAUGCCUAUCCUUAGCAUAAGGUGAGCAGCACAGCACUGGUAUGGUACACAGAGCACACACAUAAGUACCAUGAUAUCCUGUUCUAUUGGGUUACAUGCCUAUCCUUAGCAUAAGGUGAGCAGCACAGCACUGGUAUGGUACACAGAGCACACACAUAAGUACCAUGAUAUCCUGUUCUAUUGGGUUACAUGCCUAUCCUUAGCAUAAGGUGAGCAGCACAGCACUGGUAUGGUACACAGAGCACACACAUAAGUACCAUGAUAUCCUGUUCUAUUGGGUUACAUGCCUAUCCUUAGCAUAAGGUGAGCAGCACAGCACUGGCAUUAUACACAGAGCACACACAUAAGUACCAUAACAUCCUGUUCUAUUGGGUUACAUGCCUAUCCUUAGCAUAAGGUGAGCAGCACAGCACUGGCAUUAUACACAGAGCACACACAUAAGUACCAUAACAUGAUGAUAUUUGAAACCAGCAGUGCCCUUUUUUUUUUUUUAGAAGGAAACCAAAGUUCUGAAUACAGUAUUCAAAGGAGGAUAAGUAACAUGUUUAUAAACACUUGAUAUUAUCACACACAGUGAAUAUUAUAAGCCUUAUAUUCAGUGCUCAUACAUCAGCCUCUUGUGCGUAGACAUUCUAUUCGCCUGAGGCAAAUAUGCGUGCACACUAUAUAUGCAUAAGCCCCAAGCUCGCACACAGUUGGUACAAAUUAGCACCCACCAGACAGUGUAUACAAAAAAGCACAGUAAGUUUCUAUAACCACGUAAGGUCGUAGCUAAGUCCAGUGGUCCUGGUGAUAGGUGACAGGCAGACUCCAUUUGGGACUCCGGACAUAUAAUCUGAUGGGUCAGUGUGAGACCCAAACCAGGAACUAGGCGGAGAUGCGAUGAGAGACGAUCAGGUGCAGCCAAGCCUAUCGCACUGAUAACUACACCCAAAAACAAAACACAUGUCCACCUCGUAUUGUUGUCUGGCUAUAACCACGCUCUCCCUUGUAGAGCUCCACCAGUUUCAAUGCAGAUUACGCCCUACGGUACAAGUGACCACGCCCAUUUGUUGGAGCUUUCACGCCUACAAGCUCUCUCAGCUACACACACACACACACUGUAGUUGAAAAAGAAAAAAAAACAUUUUGUUUCGGCCAGGGGCAUCCUGAAUUUUCGGUAUCGGUUUCGGUCCAGAAUUUUCAUUUCGGUGCAUCCCUAAUUAGAAAGUAUUACACUGCCCCUACCAUGCUACUUUAUAAAGCCACUCGUCUAGCAACAUUUUCUGUGGAGUACUGGGGCAUAAAAUAACAAUGUCACCUUAUAUAUGCUCUGCUAUGUGCAAUUAAAUAUAUAGCAGCAGAUUGGUAGAACCACUGUCAGACAGAAGGGAGGUUCUUCAUGUAGGAUACUUUGUAGGUCUAUAAGGAAGACUGCUCUUUAUAUUACAACGUAGCACACACUUAUAAUUCAUUUAUUAGUUAUUCUUUAAGGUGCUUUUAGUCUCGACUGCAUAAUCCAGUUACAUUUUGAAAAUUGAAUUGGACUUUUAUGAAGUGUUUUCCCCCCACUGUUUUUUGCACUAUUUAAUAAUGCUCAUAAGUCAUUAUCUCUAACUAUAUGAUUUUCCCUAUUUAUAACAGUCAUAACCAACUUAAAGGGAUACUAAACUCAAAUUUGUUCUGUCAUGAUUCAGAUAGAACAUGCAAUUUUAAGCAACUUUCUAAUUUACUCCUAUUAAUUUGCAGUUCAGGCUUUAGAAACUCAAACUGUACCAUGGAAGACAACUAAAUUUAGACAUAUUUAGUAGUAUUGCCCUAUAUUAAAGCUUUUUUUUAUAGUCUAAUUUCUAUGUAAAUGUGUUUGUGUGUCCUCUUAAAAAAGGUGACACCUUCCUGUAGUCUUUACACUCAUCCCCCCUUCAGUGGGUUUCAGUUUGGGUUCUACCACUUUUGGAGUAAGUAGUUUUUUUUCAGUAGUUUUGCUGCAGCCUUCAAAGUACCUUCACAUUGGGUGGUUUGGUGGCAACCAAGCAGUUCUGCUAUAUAACAGAUGAACGGGAGAGAAACAGAUUUGUGUAUCCAGUAAUAUCAGCGUUCUGCCCACAUAAAACUUUUUAUGCUAUGUUUGUGCCUGGUUUGUUUCUGAGAUAAAUGUUGAGGGACAAUGUUGGUUGUUCCACUAGUUGUAGAGUUUUGUGCUACCAGCAGAUUUGGUGGAAUGUGUUCUUUGUCCCUGUUCAUAGAACAGAACUAUAUUAAAAGGGUAAUGCAUUAUAUACAUUUAAAAUCAAGAGAGGUUUAAUAUCCCUUAAUAUAAAAAUUGUGCCUUGCCCACAGUAACAAGUCAAAAAGCAAAGUCUGUAACAUUUUGUUUUUAAAUGUUUGAUUUUCAGCAUUUGCAGGUUACAGGGUGCUUUUUUGCCUUUCUCUAGGAGCAUGGGACAAAGCUCAAUUUUACAAAUCAGUGACAGGUGUUUAAUGUCCGUUUAUUACAUAAAUAUAAAUGUUCCAGCAGUACUAUCAAAUACCAUUUGUGCGGAUCAUACUAUUACAGUAUAAUUGGCAGUGUUUUUCUCUCUUCAGUACACUUGUUUUAAUAUAAUUAUAUUUUGUACUUGCAUCUUUAAACCUCUAGUGCCAAACAAGAACAAUCUUAUACUACCUUUAACCUCUAAGUUGCCAGAGAGGGCUGUAACACAUUGCUACACAAUGCUCUGCAAACCUUGCUGGUAGCCAAGGGAUUAAAGGGACAGGGUACUGAGACAUUGGUUUCCCCUUAAUGUGUUUCCAAAUACUUUUUAUACCAGUUGCAGAUUAUAAAAUGUGUAAGAAAUUGUUUCUUUAGGGUUAUAUGGAUACAAAAAAAGUUUUUGCUCUUUAAAACUAAAACCCAUUAAAAUGUACUGAACUUCAAGAUACAUCAGACCUCUCCUUAUCUUAUAGAAAUUAUUAAUUGUAUCUUCUCUCUGUAUACCUAAGCUCAAUAAAUAGAAAGAACAAUUGAAAAUAAAUAUUGUAGUACAUGUCACUCCCACCCCCACACUGGUAAUGUAAUUUCUUCUGCUGGCUCUUUUUACAAAGUUUUUCCAUAAACCAAUAGUUAAUUAUUACAAUAUUGAGUAUAAUUAGUGGAUUCAACAGGCUAAAUCAGCUAUUCCAACUGACAAAAUAAAGGUAAAGGAACUUUGUGCACAAUUUAAUACACUCUAGCAAGUAAAUUGAUCAUUUGGAACACACUGAAAGGGGAGAAAAUGUACACUGUCCCUUUAAGCGUUACUUUGUUUUGUCCUGUCUAAGCUUGGCCCUCUGAACUUUUAAAACUAAAUAACUGGGUUGUUUUUUUAUUGGGAUUUCUCUAUUUUAUUUUUAUUUAACUUAAAAAUGAUCAAAAAGCCCAGAACUAAUUUUCAUUUAAAGUGAGAAAUCUUUUAAACCACUCUUUAUAAACAUGUAACUUUUUAUUGUAUAGGAAUAUAAAAUGCAAUUUAAAGCCCAUAUUUAUGUUACUUUUAAAUCAUGCUAUUUGUAAACUUUAUGUAUACCUUAUCUGUGAAUUUUAUUUACUUUUUAUCCCAACUUCAAGUUGUGCAAUAAACUGGCUUUUUAAAAGACAAA